CGUUUUAGGAUUUUUUGUAGUCUAAACCUAUGUAUUAGGUUAUGUAUAUAUAGUAUAUAUCUAUAUAUAUACUAUAUAUAUAUAUGUAUAUAGAUAUAUGCCCGUAAUGCGGCCAUUUGACUGUUAGAUACUUUUUAAAUAUUUUACUUAUCAGUUAAUAAUUAGUUCUUAACGUUAAGUGUAUUGAGCAUAUUUUUUAAAUUGUCAAAGCGCGUAUCAUAACUGCUAUAUUUUUAAUUUUUAAUUUAGAGUUUAUUGUAUUAUUUAUAUAAGUAAUACAUUGACUGAUGAUCAAUCUGUGUAUCGGCGGCCAACGGCUGAUGCUUACAAAAUACAAAUUCUCAAAAGCGAAAUUACACUAAUAGUGUAGUAACACUAUGGUAUUGUCCUUCUGAGUUACUGCUUGGUGAACAUAAUUACAGUCCUGCUGUAGAUGUGGGGAACAGGCUGCAUUAUGGUUGCAUUUUUUACUCAAUAUCCUAUUAUGCACGGUUCUUCAAAAAAUAAGUCAAUUAAUGUUGAUAUCAUUAUAAUGUGGGUCAAUAAUACCAGAAGUAUGGCCUAACAUUGUCAAUCUCGAUGUGUAAAAAAAAAAUUACACUUCCAAAACAAAAUACAAGAAAGGUACAGACAUAUUUUAUACACCAUAUUUCUAGCAGUUUGGUAUGUGAUUUGAUUGACCAUUUAUUAAUGCUGGCUCGGGAAAGAGAAACGAUGGUGACACAGCUUUAAAUCAGGAUUUUUUUUGGAAAGAUCCCAUUCCCAGUGAUUUAUUUAGUCAUAUAAUAAAUAAAAAACAAUUGCCAUGAUUACAAUAUAUUUCAAAAACGAAAAUUUCAAAAGAACCAACAAAUUGUAAAAUGUGCAAAACCAAUAUCAGUUAUAGUAGGCAUGGGCGCCCAUUGGGAGGGGCAAGGGGGGCAC